AUCAUUAAUGCCUGGGGAAGAAAUUUGGAAGUUGCAACCACUCUGUAUGUUGUCAUAGUUAAGGCGGAAAAUAUCCGUUAGCGACAGUGGAAGCAUAGAGGAGUGUGAACUUAGGCUAAGUGAAAGGAAAUAUAUUUAAAGUGGUUAAUAGUUCAAUGACAUAUGUAAACAAACAUAAGGGUUAGUAAAUAAAUAUUAAUUUUUAAUUGUUUAUAUAAAAAACAAUGUUGUGCUUUGUGAAAAACUGUUUAUUAAAGUAUGGAGCUUUAAUUGAUGGAUUAAAAUAAAUAAAACGUUAUUAAAAGUAGUAAUUGUGAUUUAAAAAUUUCGGAUCUGUAGCGUGCAGUGUUAAACGUGAAAUAUUAAUUAAAAGUUGAAUAAAAUUAAGUGAUUUCAAUAAAGAGUAUAUACAAUCACAGACUUUAGGUUAAAUGUGCAUUAGUCUGAGGAAAAGUUCAAUUGGAGCACUUGCUAGUACUCUAGCUAAGUAUACUAUUUACGGAUACUACUGAUUAUAAGAUGUUAUAAGGUAGCUAGGACGAAUUCUAGGACAAAUUCACUAAGAUGAAAUUGAAGUUUUUGGUGGACUCUGGCUGAGGAUACUAUUUUUACAGAGACUGCUGGUUAUAAAGUAUUUACUAGUUAUGGUGAUUAUUAUCUGGGCAAAUCUGCUCGAGGCUGAUUGGAUGUUAAAUUGGAGCAUUACGUUGGAUCCCGGCUGAGGACUUUCUCUUCAUUGCGAGUACUGGCCAUUAAUUUAUGGAUGUACAGGCUACUUAAAAAAUUUCCCAAUGAAAUUUUUAUGGAUUUGAUGAAGAAUUUAAUUGAAAUACUCCAAAAGACUACGACUCAGGAUUUUGUUCGAUUUUCUCUGUUGGUAAUCGUACAUAUCUCCAUUAUGAUUUCAUUUUCCAAUAUUCUAAUUAAACAAAUUCUGUGAAUUCGUAUUAAAAAAAAAAAAAAACAAAAACAAAUAUAAAUCAAUUCGUACCUUUAGUAACAAUGAAGAAUUUGUCCCUUGUUAAUAAAAAAAAAGUACAUCAAAAAUAAAUACACUUCUUACUUAC